rnacentral:rRNA from 1 species
CCCUUAGAUGUUCUGGGCCGCACGCGCGCUACAAUGAUGAAUUCAACGAGUUUAUAACCUUGGUUGAAAAGCCUGGGUAAUCUUUUGAACUUUCGUCGUGAUGGGGCUAGACCCUUGCAAUUAUUGGUCUCCAACGAGGAAUUCCUAGUAAACGCAAGUCAUCAGCUUGCAUUGAUUACGUCCCUGCCCUUUGUACACACCGCCCGUCGCACCUACCGAUUGAGUGAUCCGGUGAAUUAUUCGGACUGCAACGCGCUCAGUUCCUGGAUGCGAUUGCGGAAAGUUUUGUGAACCUUACCACUUAGAGGAAGGAGAAGUCGUAACA